ACAUUGGUGGUUCAGUGGUAGACUUCUUGCCUCCCAUACGGGAGACCUGGGUUUGCUUCCCAGCCAAUGCA
rnacentral:tRNA from 1 species